UAUCUUGGAGCAGCAGUUAUUUCCCCCUCCUUUUGACUACAGUGGUUGGAGUCAGUAGGUAGUGAUUAGAGUAAGUAGGUAAUACUUUUCAUUGGAAUAUAACUUGCAAGUUGAUGGAUUCAGAACCUUUGUGCUAUGAAAUACAGUUACAGUAGGAGAUUCAGACACUGUUCUUGUGAUUAUGUGAUUAUGCCACUGGACUAUUGCCAUUUCCCAUUAAAAUUAGUUAGGAAUUUUGUAUAUUUAGGCGGUGUAUGCCACCGUAUUGAAUGGACAUCUUGGAAAAGCAAAAUUGGCUCAAUUUGGAAGGAUGGUUGCUUUAUAUGAAUUUUUUGCCUGCUUUGCACGCAUUGCCACAUGUGCAUUCCCAUGCCUCAUCCAUAAUCAUUGUCGACAAAUAUUGCAGUCACCUUUAGCAUGGAACAGAAUAAGUAUGGCCCCUAUUUUAGUUCUCUCUGUCAUGUUCGCGUGCACAACCUAUUUUGCCAAUGAGCAAGUUUAGCAUCUGUUUGUUGGUUGCCUGGUUCUUAUUGUUGUCCUAGCUGUCUAGUUUUUCUUAUUGUUGUCCUAGCUGUCUAGUUAGUACCAGAACUCUGUUAGAGUAAAGCUAGAUGUGACACCUGUUACGGUAUUGUUACCCAACAGACUUAGGCCUAGAUUUAUUAGUUGUAAAUUUGUUACCUCAAUGUAUCGCAUUACAUUCGAAGCAAAACACGAGCUGCAAUGUACCAACUCUUGUCAGAUGUCUAUAUCAGUAUAAAAUGGUACAUGGUGUUCUUGAUGCUAUUCUUUCUUCUUUUCUGCAGGAGAGGCUGACAUUUGACAAUACGGUUCUGUGUGUGCAUUGACUGCUGGUGCUGCAGCCUGUAAUUUUUCUUGUGGAGUGGACCGAAGUAAUCCAUCAAGCUAGCUGCAUUAUUGAUUCUGUUCCUUUUGCUGGCGAGGUAAUAAUGUCCCACUCAACUCGUGAUGUGAGACAUAGUAGUGUAACCAUGAUAUUUACAUCAUUG
rnacentral:lncRNA from 1 species